UCGCAGCCCAGCAAGACAAAAAUCCUGAUGGAAGCUUUGUGUGGAAGUAUGCAAGAUGGUGCGUCCUUCCUCAGACUUGCUUGCAGAUGUUGAGUGAAGUCACAUGGCCACGAUGAAAGAUCACACUCAUCAGGCUGGCUUGCAGCUGAAAGCACAGUGUCAUUACCUGGCCACGUGGAGGACCGCAGUCAGCAGAUGCUGUGCAGGAAGUGGUGGCUUCAAAAUGCAGACCAGGGGCCUUAGAAAUCCCAUGUACGCAUUUCAAGUGGAGC